AACGAACGCUGGCGGCAUGCCUAACACAUGCAAGUCGAACGAGACCUUCGGGCUUAGUGGCGCACGGGUGCGUAACGCGUGGGAACCUGCCCUUAGGUUCGGAAUAACUCCCCGAAAGGGGUGCUAAUACCGGAUAAUGUCUUCGGACCAAAGAUUUAUCGCCUUAGGAUGGGCCCGCGUUGGAUUAGGUAGUUGGUAGGGUAAAAGCCUACCAAGGCGACGAUCCAUAGCUGGUCUGAGAGGAUGAUCAGCCACACUGGGACUGAGACACGGCCCAGACUCCUACGGGAGGGAGCAGUGGGGAAUAUUGGACAAUGGGCGAAAGCCUGAUCCAGCCAUGCCGCGUGAGUGAUGAAGGCCUUAGGGUUGUAAAGCUCUUUUACCCGGGAUGAUAAUGACAGUACCGGGAGAAUAAGCUCCGGCUAACUCCGUG
rnacentral:rRNA from 1 species